AUCUUGUAUGUGGAUUGAGGAGGAAGCCAAAGUAGGGCCUGAAGCUUUUGGGCGGAGACGUGGGUCUGUGAAUCAAUACUCUAAAGAUGACGUCUGCAUUUCAGCGAGCGUUUUUUCCAGAACUGGCUGUUUCUCCGUGUGGAGAGGAGAGAUGGACCCACCUAACACAGCGCCAGGAUCUCACCCCAGGCUGGCUAAGAUCAGAUCUCCCUACCUGGGUAACCUACCUCUGUCCAAGACGGCCUACUACUGGAACUUUUCACUCAUCAGUGGAACAGAAUGACCUUUCUGUUCCACUUCUCCCAUCUUGCUCAGAAAUAAGCAACAAUUUAAAAAUAAUGAACAGACCUCACUUGAAGUGACCCAUGAGGUGGCAAAGAGAAGAAGUCCCAGUACAGAGCCUUGGGGGACCCCGGCAGCGAGAUGAUGUGCUGCAGAAGUCUGAACGAAAAUCUAGACAGAAAAGCAUUUUUUUUGUUUGUUUUUUUUCAACAGUGUACGUAAGCAUUAAAAAUAAGAAGUUUGGCGUCAUGUUAAUCAAAGCA